rnacentral:misc_RNA from 1 species
GAUGAAGAACGCAGUAAAAUGCGAUAAGUAAUGUGAAUUGCAGAAUUCAGUGAAUCAUCGAAUCUUUGAACGCACAUUGCGCCCGCCAGUAUUCUGGCGGGCAUGCCUGUUCGAGCGUCAUUUCAACCCUCAAGCACAGCUUGGUGUUGGGACUCGCGUUAAUUCGCGUUCCUCAAAUUGAUUGGCGGUCACGUCGAGCUUCCAUAGCGUAGUAGUAAAACCCUCGUUACUGGUAAUCGUCGCGGCCACCCCGUUAAACCCCAACUUCUGAAUGUUGACCUCGGAUCAGGUAGGAAUACCCGCUGAACUUAAGCAUAUCAAUAAGCGGAGGA